rnacentral:rRNA from 1 species
CCUCCUAGUAGAGUUUGAUCCUGGCUCAGAACGAACGCUGGCGGCGUGCCUAACACAUGCAAGUCGAACGAGAAAGGGACUUCGGUCCCGAGUAAAGCGGCGCACGGGUGAGUAACACGUGGGUAACCUGCCUCUAAGACCGGGAUAACCCGUCGAAAGAUGAGCUAAUACCGGAUAAGACCACAGUUCCUGCGGGAAUCGAGGUCAAAGGUAGCCUCUGCAGUGCAAGCUAUCACUCAGAGAUGGGCCCGCGCACCAUUAGCUAGUUGGUAGGGUAACGGCCUACCAAGGCAAAGAUGGUUAGCUGGUCUGAGAGGAUGAUCAGCCACACUGGAACUGAGACACGGUCCAGACUCCUACGGGAGGCAGCAGUGGGGAAUAUUGCGCAAUGGGCGAAAGCCUGACGCAGCAACGCCGCGUGAGUGAUGAAGGCCUUCGGGUCGUAAAGCUCUGUCGGAGGGAACGAACGUUCCCGGGGUUAACAGCCCCGGGAAGUGACGGUACCCUCAAAGGAAGCACCGGCUAACUCUGUGCCAGCAGCCGCGGUAAUACAGAGGGUGCUAGCGUUGUUCGGAAUCAUUGGGCGUAAAGGGCGUGUAGGCGGUUUGCUAAGACAGGUGUGAAAUCCCCGGGCUUA